rnacentral:rRNA from 1 species
GAUGAACGCUGGCGGCGUGCCUAAUACAUGCAAGUCGAGCGAACAGACGAGGAGCUUGCUCCUCUGACGUUAGCGGCGGACGGGUGAGUAACACGUGGAUAACCUACCUAUAAGACUGGGAUAACUUCGGGAAACCGGAGCUAAUACCGGAUAAUAUAUUGAACCGCAUGGUUCAAUAGUGAAAGACGGUUUUGCUGUCACUUAUAGAUGGAUCCGCGCCGCAUUAGCUAGUUGGUAAGGUAACGGCUUACCAAGGCGACGAUGCGUAGCCGACCUGAGAGGGUGAUCGCCCACACUGGAACUGAGCCACGGUCCAGACUCCUACGGGAGGCAGCAGUAGGGAAGCUUCCGCAAUGGGCGAAAGCCUGACGGAGCAUCGCCGCGUGAGUGAUGAAGGUCUUCGGAUCGUAAAACUCUGUUAUUAGGGAAGAACAAAUGUGUAAGUAACUAUGCACGUCUUGACGGUACCUAAUCAGAAAGCCACGGCUAACUACGUG